AGUGAACGCUGGCGGUAGGCCUAACACAUGCAAGUCGAACGGCAGCACAGUAAGAGCUUGCUCUUACGGGUGGCGAGUGGCGGACGGGUGAGGAAUACAUCGGAAUCUACUUUUUCGUGGGGGAUAACGUAGGGAAACUUACGCUAAUACCGCUUACGACCUACGGGGGAAAGCAGGGGAUCUUCGGACUUUGCGCGAUUGAUUGAGCCGAUGUCGGAUUAGCUAGUUGGCGGGGUAAAGGCCCACCAAGGCGACGAUCCGUAGCUGGUCUGAGAGGAUGAUCAGCCACACUGGAACUGAGACACGGUCCAGACUCCUACGGGAGGCAGCAGUGGGGAAUAUUGGACAAUGGGCGCAAGCCUGAUCCAGCCAUACCGCGUGGGUGAAGAAGGCCUUCGGGUUGUAAAGCCCUUUUGUUGGGAAAGAAAAGCAGCAGGUUAAUACCCCGCUGUUCUGACGGUACCCAAAGAAUAAGCACCGGCUAACUUCGUG
rnacentral:rRNA from 1 species